AUACGUAGGUGGCAAGCGUUGUCCGGAAUUAUUGGGCGUAAAGCGCGCGCAGGCGGUCCUUUAAGUCUGAUGUGAAAGCCCACGGCUCAACCGUGGAGGGUCAUUGGAAACUGGGGGACUUGAGUGCAGAAGAGGAAAGUGGAAUUCCAAGUGUAGCGGUGAAAUGCGUAGAGAUUUGGAGGAAAACCAGUGGCGAAGGCGACUUUCUGGUCUGUAACUGACGCUGAGGCGCGAAAGCGUGGGGAGCAAACAGGAUUAGAUACCCUGGUAGUCCACGCCGUAAACGAUGAGUGCUAAGUGUUAGGGGGUUUCCGCCCCUUAGUGCUGCAGCUAACGCAUUAAGCACUCCGCCUGGGGAGUACGGUCGCAAGACUGAAACUCAAAGGAAUUGGCGGGG
rnacentral:rRNA from 1 species